CCUACGGGAGGCAGCAGUGAGGAAUAUUGGUCAAUGGGCGCGAGCCUGAACCAGCCAAGUAGCGUGAAGGAUGACUGCCCUACGGGUUGUAAACUUCUUUUAUAAAGGAAUAAAGUGAGGCACGUGUGCCUUUUUGUAUGUACUUUAUGAAUAAGGAUCGGCUAACUCCGUGCCAGCAGCCGCGGUAAUACGGAGGAUCCGAGCGUUAUCCGGAUUUAUUGGGUUUAAAGGGAGCGUAGGCGGAUCGUUAAGUCAGUGGUCAAAUUGAGGGGCUCAACCCCUUCCCGCCAUUGAAACUGGUUUUCUAGAGUUGGAGAGAAGUAUGCGGAAUUCGUGGUGUAGCGGUGAAAUGCAUAGAUAGCACGAAGAACUCCGAUUGCGAAGGCAGCAUACCGGCUCCAUACUGACGCUGAGGCACGAAAGCGUGGGGAUCGAACAGGAUUAGAUACCCGUGUAGUC
rnacentral:rRNA from 1 species